ensembl:snRNA U1 U1 spliceosomal RNA
AUACUUACCUGGCAGGGGAGAUACCAUGAUCACGAAGAUGGUCUUCCCAGGGCGAGGGGGACUUAUUUAGUUCUUCCACCCGGCUGGACAGGUCUUUGUUCAUUAGGCUAUAUAAUUCCUGAUAUUAAAAUGGCAUGGGGAAAUGCCUCCUUGCCAA